AACGAACGCUGGCGGCAUGCCUAACACAUGCAAGUCGAACGAGACCUUCGGGUCUAGUGGCGCACGGGUGCGUAACGCGUGGGAACCUGCCCUUAGGUUCGGAAUAACUCCCCGAAAGGGGUGCUAAUACCGGAUAAUGUCUUCGGACCAAAGAUUUAUCGCCUUUGGAUGGGCCCGCGUUGGAUUAGCUAGUUGGUAGGGUAAAAGCCUACCAAGGCGACGAUCCAUAGCUGGUCUGAGAGGAUGAUCAGCCACACUGGGACUGAGACACGGCCCAGACUCCUACGGGAAGCAGCAGUGGGGAAUAUUGGACAAUGGGCGAAAGACUGAUCCAGCAAUGCCGCGUGAGUGAUGAAGGCCUUAGGGUUGUAAAGCUCUUUUACCCGGGAUGAUAAUGACAGUACCGGGAGAAUAAGCUCCGGCUAACUCCGUG
rnacentral:rRNA from 1 species